ensembl:snRNA U6 U6 spliceosomal RNA
GUGCUCCCUUUGGCAGCACAUAUACUAAAAUUUGAAGAUUAUGGAGAAGAUUAGCAUGGCCCUUGCUCAAGGAUGCGACACAAAUUCAUGAAGCAUUCCAUUGGGGA